UUGGAUGCUGCUUAAACAAUCCAUUUCCUCUCCCCAGCUGCAUCUCUCUCCCUGUCUCUCCAACUGAAGGGCUUUUUCAUAGUCCUCUGUUUCAAGUUCAACCACACCAGUGAGAAUGUUACUGCUGCAGGUUCUUAUUGUGACUUCAACAUGGUCUUGUGGAUAUUCGCAAAUAACUCUGAUACAAACUCCAUUGUCUGUCACCAGAGCAGAAACUAGAAGUGCAUAUAUGUGGUGUAAAAUUUCUGGCGAAGGUUUUAAUUUUAACAGUGCUUAUAUACACUGGUAUCGACAGAGCCAUCAGGCAGCUUCAAAGAGGAUUCUGUAUAUUAGAUCAGGAUCAGUUUCUGUGGAUGAAGGCUUUGACAGAGAAAAGUUUAAAGUUGGUAAUGAUGUUUCUGGGUCCACCUCUAAUCUCAGAGUAGACCAACUAACCCAAGAGGAUGCUACAGCCUAUUAUUGUGCCAUGUGGGAUCGCACAUUACGAGAAACCCAUAGACAACCCAUACAGAAACCCACUCUGCAUUCUGAGCUACAGCCUUUCAAGUGUAUGAAGCCAGACACAUCCCUUAUCCUUCCUCUCAACUUGGAACCAACAGCACAAACUCCUGACUGGUUUCUGCAACAUGACAGGAAGAAAACCAGCACAGAACUUCAGUUUUGA